rnacentral:rRNA from 1 species
UACGAAGGGGGCUAGCGUUGUUCGGAAUUACUGGGCGUAAAGGGCGCGUAGGCGGUGUGUCAAGUCAGGCGUGAAAGCCCCGGGCUCAACCUGGGAACCGCGCUUGAGACUGGCACGCUCGAGUUCGGGAGAGGAUGGUGGAAUUCCCAGUGUAGAGGUGAAAUUCGUAGAUAUUGGGAAGAACACCGAUGGCGAAGGCAGCCGUCUGGACCGACACUGACGCUGAGGCGCGAAAGCGUGGGGAGCAAA